UUUUAGAGAGUGCUGAUGAAAAUGUGGGUCACAGGACCCAAAAUGUUUGGGUCCUGUGACCCCUCCCAGGUCUUGGGUCUUCGUCUGGGUUUAAUCAGAGCUUUCAAAUAAUGUGCAAACAGGUCAUUUAUGUGAAUCGCCCGGUUGUCAUGUAAGGAAAAACAGUUGAUGGUACUAUGCUGUUAAAUACAAAACACUGGCGUAGCUUCGGUCUGGGAGGAGUCCAGAAUGAGCCAAGCAAAAGAAGGUUCUCCUAUGAUGCAGGAUUUCAAAGUAACAUUACCAUUGAUAUUGAAGCUAUGAAAAUGAUCAUUGUUCUAAAAGAAAUCAUCUUCAAGCUGCGACAGGUAAGGG